UGGUAGAGUCAGGGUGUGUGGUUGAAAAAAAGAAUUUUGUCUUUGUCUUUUAAAAUUAGCUACUGGAGGGAAAAAAGAGCAUAACACCGGUUUUCUGGUAGUAGAAACCCACAGGCUAUGUCCUAUGGGACAUAAUGUGACCAAAAAACUGUCUGUAGAGCAGAUAUUUUUAUAACUCACGAUUAGGCCACGGAGCCAGAACAAAGGGGACAAUGGAGGGGUUACAUAGUUCAUGCUGCUCUGUUAACAGCACCACAUGGAACCCAACUGUGGACUUCCUGCACCUGGCGAGAAGAGGCAGCCAAGCCCAAGCCCCUCAACUUGGCAGUGAAGAAACUCUGACCAGAGCGGCCAGUGAGGCUGUCAUCUAGCAAUUCACCCCUGAACCCAGGUUAUCGACUGUGGAUGCAGGGAAGAAAAAGCCUCACCUUUGAAGCAACCCACACCUUCUCUCUGCCCUGUGGCUCUCUCGCCUCCUCCUCCUCCGUUGUAGACAACGCUCUGACCAACCACUGCAGAUGCAUCCAUUUGUCUCCCCCAAUAUUAGCGCUUCUUGAGCUUUCUAGGGGCCAAUGGUCUAAAGGUGAGAACAGCGAUUCUAUCAGGCAGCUGAUCUUCUAGGUCUCAGCCAGCUCAGUGUUUAUAAUAAUUCUUAAAUGCACGCUUACUGGUCCCUUAGCUUCCUCAGUUAGGCAUCUGCUCAGAGUCCUUUAAAAGAACUUUUUCCAACCAGUGUGAGGUUAGCCAAAGGUAGCUGAACUAGAUAUCACUGUUCUUCCCACCCCGAGAUUGCUUCCGGACUAAGAGGAUUCCUGCCACCCUUCACUGAUCAAUUUGGUCAAACCAUCAGGCACAGAGAACAUUAGAGCAAUUUCUUUUCCCUCCUACACUUAUUUAUCAUCACCCAUCCACCACACCUUAGACCACUGCCUCUUUCAACCUCUAACUCCUUCCCCAAGAAGUAUGAAAAGAGAAACGAUCAACUUACACGGGCUGACGUAGAGUUCUUAGAAUGUAUUUUUGUUCACCUGAAAAAUAAAACUUUUAAAAAAUAUACA
rnacentral:lncRNA from 1 species